GCCUUUUUCAGAAAUGACCAAGUUACUCUAACCUGGGUUAGAAGCAAAAAUUGCUUUCUGGCUAGGAUAUAUCUGGGAGCCCUGAAAGAUACUGUCUGUAACAUUGAGUCUUCAUGACCUUUGAUUUCUUCAUUAUAAACCAGGUCCUCCUGUUUUCCCCACAAAGGAAAUGUCUAUGUGCAUUGGGUUGCACACAUAUUAUUGACAUAUACCACACAGUGACAGUAAAUGUUUUAUUUGUUUGAUCAGUUAAGGCAGAACUUUGGCCAGGUGCAUCUUUGGAGCUACAGCAAUAUGGAAUAUGUGUGUGUGCAUAUGUCUGUGAGGAAGGGGGUUUGUCAUUUUGUUUGUUAUGCCACUGAAAUAAAUGUCUUUUGCCUUAAUCUUUGUCUCCAGGAUGACUGGUAAGAAGAACACACCAAUGAGGGCUCACGAAUGCUGGCUGCACUUAUCUUGUGGUGGUUUUUCAUAACUCCACCUAGGAGAAGGUGCAUGAAGUGCUACACUGAAUAGAAUACAGGGAAAGCAAAAUGCUUUUCUAGAACCCAGAUAUUUGAUUUAUUUUCCUUUUACAUCACUUUCAUUUACAAGUAUAUAUUUACCCUUCCCCAACUUAGAAUUUCCCUUAUUGUUAAACAGUUUAAAAAAUAGACAAAGCAAUUAGUGUAUUACUACCAGCACUGAAAACCUGUCAUCAGCAACAUAUUCAACAGCUGCUUGUGUUUUAGGUGAUGGGGACCAAAAAGGUAAAAACACAGCACCUUGUCCUCAAGAACCUCAUGAUCGAAUGAGGAAAACAGUGGGCUAGCAAUUAUAAACAAGGUACAUGCAGGGUAAAUUGGAGAUGAUGUUAGAAGAAAGAUCCUCGCAGUGGAGGGAACUGAGGAAGGCUUCUUGCAGGAGGUGGGAUUUGCAGUAUUCAGGGGAACAAGGAGGUGAAGGUGAGGAGGGAGAACAUUUUAGGCAAAGGUAUGGAGUUGGGCAAGGGAGGAUCAAGAUUGAGGAACAGAUAGACAGCAGUGUCCCUGGAUCAUCAGAGGGAUAUACAAUGUAGGAAGACUAGAAAGCUGAGUGAGGUUGUGAAGAGGUUUCAAAAACAAUGAGAGUCAGGUAGAUGGUGCACUGGAUAGAGCUCUGGCCCUGGGGUCAGAGGACCUGAGUUCAAAUGUGAUCCCAGAUGCUUCCUGGCUGUGGGACAACAAGUGAGUCACAACCUGAAUUAUCUCAUUCAACCAAAAGAACAAGAUAGAGAGACUUAAAGAUAUGAUCCUGGAGUUAAUGGAGCCUCAUUGAAACUUUCUGACUAGGGAGAGCAACAUCAUUAAACUUUCCUGUGAGAUAGAUGACCUUGGCUGGUGGGUGAAGGAUGAACUGGAGUUAAGGGUGCUUGAAGUAGGAAGAUGACUCAGCAGGCUAUUGGGACAACCAGGUGUGAAGUGAUAAAGGCCCAGAGAAGUUAGGAGUCAAGCCCCAUAGAACUUGGUAAUAGGUUGGCUAUUGGGGUGGUGGUGAAGGAGAGUGAGCAGUUGAGAAUGAAGUCCAAGCUGUAAGUGAGGAUGGGUGUGCUCUCAACUUCCUUAAUAGGGAAUUUAGGAGGGAGUGGUGGUGAAGAAUUUGGGAUGCUGAAUUUGAAACAGCUGGACUGGCCCAGUUGAAGAUGUUUAAUAGACAGCUGGUUCUCAAGACUAGAGGCUGGGAAAGAGAUUAAUGCUAGAUAAAUGAAUUUGAAGAUCAUCUUUAUAGAGAUGACAAAUCUUCAAAUGAGAUAGUACAGAGGAAGAAAGGAGGGCUCACGAUGGCCCCUUUAGGAAUUAGUGGGCACUCCAACAAAGGAGAGAGGGAAGAGGGAAAUCGGGAGAAAGCACCCUGAAAACCUAGAGAGAAGAGAUCUCAGAAGUGGGUAAUUCACAUGGCAAAGGCUAUGGAGAGGUCAAGAAAGAGGAGGAUUUAAAAAUUGUGCUGGACUCUGAUUUAAAUGCAUGGCAGCUAGGUGGCUGAGUGAGUGGCUCUUUUGAGUCUGGAAGUUCUGAGUUUUUGAAUCCUAUUUUAAUAGCUGUGGGACUAUAAUGCUUAGCCUCAGUUUCCUUAUCUUUAAAAUGCUAAUGACAGCACCUAUGGGGAUGUUCAAAUGAAGGAUUAGAUAAACUCUCUGCAAUCUUGAAUCAUUGUAUAUAGAAAUGCUAACUGUCAUAUUUUUGUGGGUAUUUUAGCACUGGAGGAACUUGAGGAAACUUUUUUUUUCAAGUUUGUUUUAUUUAAAGAAAGAAUAAGCAAAAAGAAAAACAGAAAAACAAAAGAACAUUGCCCAGCAGAACAUCAGGGAGGAUUCAAAAUAUAUAACAACUCUUGAAGUCCAGCUCUAAUGAAUAUCAAGAGCGUGCCUGGGUAGGAAUAAUAUCCAUGAGUCAGGCAGAAAGAUUUGCUUAGCAGUUUUCAUUUAUUAUGGCGGUUAAGCUAGUGUUGCAUUAAUGCCAGCUACCUCUAGGUGGCACUAUGUACAUUCGAGGGUUAAUGUAUAGACUGUAGUUUUGCCAUUUCAGUUUGACAUUAACUAGCAAUAACAAUGUAUCAUAACAGUCGUAAAUAGCGAUAACAGACAAUACAAUGUGUCUAUCAUAACAGUUCCAAAUAGUAGCAACAAUUACAAUGAAUCAUAACAGUUGUAAAGAGCAGUAACUGAUAACAAUGUGUUUAUCACAGCAGUCACAAAGAGCAUAGUUGUGCAUUCUUCAUCAAGAUUACCCUGAACUUAUCUCAAACAUGUCAUUCAUUCAUUGUUAAGGGAGAAGAUGAGCCUAUGCUUUGAACUGUGUGCCCAUAGAGAGAGCAGGGCUCAAGUAAAACCUGGACCAGGCUCUUCCUGUACAUGGAUUUCUUCAAUCCUGGCCUUCUACAUUCCCCACCCCCCCCUUUUUUUUUUUAUUCAGAAGGUGAAGCAUGUGAACUUCAGUUCCCGUAGCUGACAAUGAUUGAAAAACAUACCAGAAAGCACAAGGGACUAAGUCUUAUAAGAAUGACCCAUGCAAGGGGAGCAAAAUGCAAAAGCACAGAAGUCAGAUUAAUUGCAGGAUUUAUCUUUUUAACCCCUUAAACAUUUGGUUUGCUAUGCUAUCAGGACCAAUCCCAGGGACGCUUCUUUCUGCCAUGUUUUCUGCAAAAGCAGCUAACUGAGAUAUAUCCCAGUCUGUUCACCUGCUGACCUGUACCAAUUGUGAUUAAUCUUAGUAGGCACCAUGACUUAGGAUGGCUGUUCAAUAAGAAGAACCAAAGGCAAUGAAUUAGAUGUAAGAAACUGGAAUAAAACACAAUUGUAACAUUUUA